rnacentral:lncRNA from 1 species
GUUUUGGCGUUAGGCCUUUUCCUUCCUGCCACAGUAGAACCAGAGCAGAGAUCCUGAGAGCCAUUACCACUCACCCACGCACCCCCUGCACUCACAGCCAACACCCCAGCCAACACCGCCUCUGUCAGGUAGCAGGAGGCAAGAAGUCAGGGAAGGAGACAACAGUCACACCCCAGCCCCCUCUUGUGUACCCUGCAGCCAAUUUUGAUUCCAAACCCAAGAGGAAAGUGGAACUUUCCUAAGUUUGCUUCAUCUUGGGGUGAAGCGUCAUGGAAACUCUAGGUAUUCUGCCAUUUGUAAUUUGUCCAAAGGGAGCUACUUCUUAUGUUGUAAACCCACCCAGUGAGAUGGAGCCUAUUCCUAGAGGUCCAUAAACACAUUUCCUGAAGCUCAGGACCCUCCCUUGGGGGAGCAGUUACCCACCAAGGAGCCACUCUACUAGGCGGACAGCUAUACUAGGAAUAAGCUAUAGCCAAAGGGAGCCCCAGGAUGUCAGCCUAGUGCCCCAAAGGGAACUCUUGACCCAAGAAACUCCUUCAAAUGCAUG